UUUAUUGAAAUGAAUUGUUAAAGUGGCUAAAUUAAAAAUAAAAUUAUUUUGGCAUUUGUAGGAGCACCCUUUAUAUAUCAGGGAAAAUCACUUUAUGACAAAGAAUUGUAUUCUGUGAAGAUGUCAAUAUUACAUCAGGCAUUAAUUUAAUGAGGCUGACUCUUUCAAAUAUAACAUGCAAGUGACAAAAGGUAAAAACAUCCAGAUGAAGGAAUCCUUCAAAUGAAUCGUACAGCAUGCUUAAAAGUGUAGGACAGAUGAGUGAAUUUUGGAAACCAGAAGAUCCUGAACCACUGAGGCCUGGAAGCUCAGGGGCCUGUCAUUCAAAGAACUCUGUC
rnacentral:lncRNA from 1 species